rnacentral:lncRNA from 1 species
CAAAAGGGGGGUUCAAUAAAUUGGGGGGGGGGGGGGGAUCUCAGUUUACCAUUUUUUUAAGGGAUUUUUUUUUUUUCAACAUUUUUCAAAUUUCAAAUUUUGAAAAGUUUCAAUAAGAAAUAUUCAAUUGCACAGUAUUGUGCAAUAGAUGUGUUAGAUCUUGAACCACAUUAAUUUUGUGGCAAAAACCUAUAUUAUGUCAAAAAUUUGAUCACAAUCAAAAUUCAGACGGUAUCAAGCUUGAAUAUUGUGACCAAAUUUGCCCCAACUGUUCAGGGUUCGACCACUGGGGUCGUAUAAAGCUGCACCCUGCGGAGCACCUGGUUGACAAUUAUGAACACGUUGAGAUUUUUUUUCAUGUGAUCUGGAAAAUUUAAGAAAUGUAAACAUUACGCAAAUCGUCGGCUACUUCUGUUUGACUUUGCCUGCGUCGCAGGUGUUUUGAGUGAUUUUAUUGACCGAUCUCAUCGACGCUUUUCAGUAUUUUUAAUUUACAAUAACUUGUCUGCACCUCUUUUUUGUUUCUUUUCUCGCUGAAACUGUAAAUUCGCGUACCAUUUCCGCGAUAACAUUUCCCUGUUCAACCAUUUUCCCUUUGAGGCACAAUGUGCGAUUGCGCAUUGGGAACUGAAGAGUAAAGGUCAUAUGAAUAAGGGUUGGGCUUAACAUCGAAUUAUUAUCUAUAGACAAUAAAUAAAUGUAGGUGUUAAACGUUAAAAAGCUUCUAAAUGCUUAAUAGAACGUAACCAGUAAUUGUUUUAAUCAUAAUUAUUUUACUUUUUGUACAAAAUCCGGC